CUUUUUUCUUUGUUCAUCAUACACACAAUUAAUGAAAUAAUUACUGUAUUAGACUAACAGCCCUGUUGCAAUAACCAUAAAUGCAGAAGAGAUAUUUAACCAAAAUCUUCAGACAUUAAAAUCUAAAAGCCAGUUUUAUAUGGAGAUGAAGUAAACACCAGAGGAAUGGAAAUUCUCAACAUCCCAAAUCCUACCACCAACACCAUUUACUAAUCAACAAACACACAAGACAAAACAAUCCCAUCUCAUACAGAACUAUGAACUAAAUGGAAAUGCAAGGCAGAUGCCACUGGACACAUCUCUGAGUAUUAAAUUCCCCAGGAUGAUGAGUGUGGACAUAAAGGGUUAAACCACUCCAAUCCAAGUGUAUUUCAAACAAAGGACCACAACAGACAUCCUUACAGCCAACAUACUCCCUGCACUUCUGUUUUAGCUCUAAUUCUAAUUUUUUUAAUCAUUUCUAUUCACACGUCUCCUCCAGCCUCUGAGAAUUCACACAGGAGGAAACAAAUCUACCCCAGUGGAUUACUAUUGACCCUGUCCUGGUCAUCCAUGGCCAGUAAUAUCAAACAGUAGAAGUUAAAAGAUCAAGGCUUCGUCCAGUUAAUCAAUAUGGCAAGGUAUUAACAUGUCAAAAAUGUCAAAGGAUUACAACAGCUUCAACAUUGUCGAGUACCAUUUUAACACUGAGAUUAGUAAACUAUAUCUGCAUGAGUCCACCAUUCCAUCAGUCCUUGGCUCCAACAUGAUUGUACCACUACAACAAUAACAACAUAAAUAAUGAUAAUAAUGUGAAGCGUUUCAUUUGGAAAUUACCAUUGCUGUCAGCUGUCGCUUCUAUUGAUACUGUUAAACGCAGUCUACUCAGUCACCGACCAGUCCACCCCUAAUAUGAUGACAACAGCAACAACAUCAUCAUCACUAUCAUCUGAUAUUGUUUGGAACUUUUAUAUCCCAGGCAUCUACAACUCAUACUUUGCCAUUUCUGGAUUUACUACAACAUCAUUCCACUUCUAUUUAGCCAUUUCUGGAUCACUACAAACAUGGAUACCUACAGCUCUGACACCUACCACGCUCAGGUAUUCAAUGCUUGUAUCAUUCAACAAUGCAUUGCGAAAUACAUGCUUAUAUAUAUAUAUAUCUACAUAUACAUAUAUGUAUGUAUAUAUAAAUAUACAUGUACGUACACACACACACACUCACACUCAUAUAUACAUUCAUAUAUAUAACCUUAAAUUAAAAAUCACAAAUCUUGCAAUGACAGCCACCUUACUGUAAUUUCAAGAUUUGUGGUUUUUAAUUUAAGAUUAUCUU